CGCGUGGAGGAAGAAGGUUUUCGGAUUGUAAACUCCUGUCGUUAGGGACGAUAAUGACGGUACCUAACAAGAAAGCACCGGCUAACUACGUGCCAGCAGCCGCGGUAAAACGUAGAGUGCAAGCGUUGUCCGGAAUUACUGGGUGUAAAGGGAGCGCAGGCGGGAAGACAAGUUGGAAGUGAAAACCAUGGGCUCAACCCAUGAAUUGCUUUCAAAACUGUUUUUCUUGAGUAGUGCAGAGGUAGAUGGAAUUCCCGGUGUAGCGGUGGAAUGCGUAGAUAUCGGGAGGAACACCAGUGGCGAAGGCGGUCUACUGGGCACCAACUGACGCUGAGGCUCGAAAGCAUGGGUAGCAAACAGGAUUAGAUACCCUGGUAGUCCAUGCCGUACACGAUGAUUACUAG
rnacentral:rRNA from 1 species